rnacentral:misc_RNA from 1 species
AUACAACUGAAUCCUGAAUUCAUGGGCAUUGAUCUCAAAUUUUUCUUUGUUAGAGCUGGUAUGAUGGGAUGGUUACUUAUCAAUCUUUCAGUUCUUGCAAAAUGUGUUAUAGAGGCUAAAUUGAGCCAAUCAAUGAUUCUCUACCAGCUAUUUUGUGGGCUCUACAUCCUUGACUACUUCUUCUAUGAAGAGUUCAUGACCUCCACAUGGGAUAUAAUAGCAGAG